GACGAACGCUGGCGGCGUGCUUAACACAUGCAAGUCGAACGGUGAAGCGCCUUCCUUUUUGGUGGGUGUGGAUGAGUGGCGAACGGGUGCGUAACACGUGAGUAUCCUGCCCCCUUCUUCUGGAUAACCGCAUGAAAGUGUUGCUAAUACGGGAUAUUCUGGGUCUGUCGCAUGAUGGGUCGGGGUAAGAUAUUGUUUCGGUGGGGGAUGGGCUCGCGGCCUAUCAGCUUGUUGGUGGGGUGAUGGCCUACCAAGGCGGUGACGGGUAGCCGGCCUGAGAGGGUGGACGGGCACACUGGGACUGAGACACGGCCCAGACUCCUACGGGAGGCAGCAGUGGGGAAUAUGGAACAAUGGGCGCAAGCCUGAUGCAGCGACGCCGCGUGAGGGAUGGAGGCCUUCGGGUUGUGAACCUCUUUCGCCAGUGAAGCAGGCCUGCCUCGUUUGUGGGUGGGUUGACGGUAGCUGGAUAAGAAGCGCCGGCUAACUACGUG
rnacentral:rRNA from 1 species